GACGAACGCUGGCGGCGUGCCUAAUACAUGCAAGUAGGACGCUGAAGAGAGGAGCUUGCUCUUCUUGGAUGAGUUGCGAACGGGUGAGUAACGCGUAGGUAACCUGCCUUGUAGCGGGGGAUAACUAUUGGAAACGAUAGCUAAUACCGCAUAACAAUGGAUGACACAUGUCAUUUAUUUGAAAGGGGCAAUUGCUCCACUACAAGAUGGACCUGCGUUGUAUUAGCUAGUAGGUGAGGUAACGGCUCACCUAGGCGACGAUACAUAGCCGACCUGAGAGGGUGAUCGGCCACACUGGGACUGAGACACGGCCCAGACUCCUACGGGAGGCAGCAGUAGGGAAUCUUCGGCAAUGGGGGCAACCCUGACCGAGCAACGCCGCGUGAGUGAAGAAGGUUUUCGGAUCGUAAAGCUCUGUUGUAAGUCAAGAACGAGUGUGAGAGUGGAAAGUUCACACUGUGACGGUAGCUUACCAGAAAGGGACGGCUAACUACGUGCCAGCAGCCGCGGUAAUACGUAGGUCCCGAGCGUUGUCCGGAUUUAUUGGGCGUAAAGCGAGCGCAGGCGGUUUGAUAAGUCUGAAGUUAAAGGCUGUGGCUCAACCAUAGUUCGCUUUGGAAACUGUCAAACUUGAGUGCAGAAGGGGAGAGUGGAAUUCCACGUGUAGCGGUGAAAUGCGUAGAUAUAUGGAGGAACACCGGUGGCGAAAGCGGCUCUCUGGUCUGUAACUGACGCUGAGGCUCGAAAGCGUGGGGAGCGAACAGG
rnacentral:rRNA from 1 species